AAAAUCAGGCAGUUAGGCCGUCCCGCGGUUCUGACUCUUGCUUCAACACUGUUUGGACGGAACAGAUCCUGGGGACUUUUUCUUCCAGCCUCUGACCGCCCUCCAGUUUCCUCUCCACUUGCAACCUCCAGGACCAUCUUCUCGGCCAUCUCCUGCUUCUGGGAACCUGCUGACACAGUUUUUGUGCUUAGCUCCUUUUUGCCGACCAACCAUGAGCGCCCACGUUCAUCAGAAUUCUUCCACCGACGUGGAGGCAGCAGUGAACCGCCUGGUCUAUGUGUACCUGCAGGCCUCCCACGCCUACCUCUCUCUGGCCUACUGUUUCGACCGUGAUGAUGUGGCUCUGGAAGGCGUGAGCCACUUAUUCCGCAAACUGGCCGAGGAGAAGCGCGAGGCCUGAAGAUGCAAAACCAGCGGGGCGGCCAAGCCCUCUUUCAGGGCAUCAGGAAGCCGGCUCAAGAUGAGUGGGGUAAAACCCUGAACGCCAUGGAAGCCGCCAUGGCCCUGGAGAAAAAUCUGAACCAGGCUCUUUUGGAUCUUCAUGCCCUGGGUUCUGCCCGCACGGACCCCCAUCUCUGUGACUUCCUGGAGAGUUCCUAGAUGAGGAAGUGAAAAUCAUCAAGAAGAUGGAUGACCACCUGACCAACCUCCGCAGGCUGGCCGGCCCGCAGGCUGGGCUGGGCGAGUAUCUCUUUGAAAGGCUCACUUUCAAGCACGACCAGGAGCCUACUGAGCCCAGCGACUUCUGAAGCGCCCUUGCAAAAUAACAGGGCUUCUGCUAAGCCUCUCCCUCCAGCCACUAGGCAGCUUUCUAACUACCCUAACAAAUCUUGGACCAAAUGGAAAUAAAGCUAUUUGAAGAAAAAAAAAA